CGUAAUAUCGAAUGUGACUUGUGUGCAAAAUUUAACAUCAAUUAGACGUGAUUUUCUAGGUUUCGAUAUCGAAUGUAGAAGUUUGAAGUUCUAAAGUUCAUUAAGCUUGAAUUGGGGUACGCCUCAUGAUUUUGAUGUUGUUUGAUGUGAUUUGAGGCCUCGAGUAGGUUCGUGUUAUGUUAUGGGACUGGUUUGUGUGAUUGGACAGGGCCUCGGGUGUGUUUCGGGGUGGUUUAGAUCAUUUCGGGCUAUUUUGAAAUAGCUGAUGCUGGUAUAUGGUGUUGUUCUUCACGUUCGAGAGGAUCCUAUCGCGUUCGCAGUGAAGGUUUUGGGCUCAGGGACUCUGUUCUUUGCAUUCACGAAGAGGUUCUCAUGUUCGCGAAGAAGGAAAUCUCUGUUGCACAGGGCUAAUUUUGGAAGCUUAUAUCUCAAAAUCUAUAAGGACGAACAAAACAUGAAAGUUGUAGAGAUUGGUUUCUAAUUUUCAAAAUAUUAAACUAUUAUUAUUUGGAGUUUUUUCUACAGAAAGUUAUGGCUAUUAUACUAGAGGCUGUUUGAGAAGAGUUCGGAAAAUGGUUUUGGGAAUUUUCUUUUUUGCGAACGCGAUGAAGAUCUCGUGAACGCGAAGAAGACUCGUCUGGGCAGUGUAUAUGUGUAAAGAAAUGGGUUUGGCUCGUUUCAUCUUAUUUCCUCCAUGAGAACCAACCUAGGAGCGAUUUUGGAGCUCUAUUUUUAUCAUCCAUGUCAAAGCAAAUGAUUCCCACCUAUUGCAAGUUAAUUUCUUGGAUUAUACCUUGAUUUUAACAUGAAAAAUCAUGUAAUUAGUAUAAAUUUUGGGAUUUUGAAAAAACCUAAGAAAUUUAUAUUCUUUGAGUUUGACCACUUUUUUGGACAUGAAAUUGAGAGCCAAUUAUAUAUUUGAGUUAGUGAGGUUGUGGGUAAACUUUAUCUUCGAAUAUUUCCGAAAUUCGGGCACGUGGGCCCGAGGGCAAUUUUGUCAACCUUUCGAGCGGAGUUGAGAUUUUACAUAAAUUGAAUUGUUAUAAGUAUUAGGGUGUAUUUUCAUUGGUUUUCCCGUUAUUUGGAUAGUUUUGGGACAUUGCGCAUCAAUUGGAGUCGUCGGAAGGGAAUUGAAAGCUGGUUAUGGAUCUUUGAAGCGAGGUGAGUCUCCUUUCUAAUCUUGUAAGAGGCAAAUAUCCCCAUAGGUGAAUUAAUUUGUUAUGUGCUCCUAUUUGUGGGGGCUACGUACACAUGAGGUGACGAGAGUCCGUACGUAGCUAUUAUGAUGUUUAAGUCCGGGUAGUCUAGGACCCAAAAACAUGUUAUUUUUGGAAUAUUUAUAAUCUUAUUGAUAGCUUGAAUUUCUUAAAU
rnacentral:lncRNA from 1 species